rnacentral:rRNA from 1 species
GCAGUAGUAGCCGCCGCUGCAGCCGCAACAGCAACGCAACGCNNNNCCCCCGUCGCCCCCGCCAGGGACUCCGGCGGCCACCAUGGCGCCCUCACCGCCGAUCGCGCCGCGUCGCUCCUCGCUGCCUGCUCGACCGCCCGCCGCGCCUCCGAGCUUCACGCGGCCAUGGUCCGCACGGGCCUCGACAGCGACCGGGCCGUCGCCUUCCGCCUGCAGCGCGCCUACGCCGCGUCCGGACGCCUCGGCCUCUCUCUCACCCUCCUCCACCGCACCCAGGACCCCACCGCCAUCUUCUACACCUCCGCCAUCCAUGCCCACUCCUCCCGCGGCCUCCACCUCGCCGCUCUCGCGCUCCUCUCCGACAUGCUGUCUGAGGGUCUCCUGCCCACCGCCCACACCCUCUCCGCAUCCCUCCCCGCUUGCCGCGGACUCGCCCUGGGGCGCGCCCUGCACGCGUACGCUUUCAAGCUGGCCCUCUCCGGCGACUCCUACGUCGCCACCGCGCUGCUCAGCAUGUACGCGCGGGCGGGGGACGCCGCCGCCGCUCGUGCUCUUUUCGACGAGAUGCCAGAUCCGCACGUCGUGUCUGUCACGGCGAUGCUCACCUGCUACGGGAACAUGGGGGCGCUGGACGACGCGCGCAGGCUGUUCGACGGGUUGCCCAGGAAGGACUUCAUCUGUUGGAACGCGAUGAUUGACGGCUACACGCAGCACGGGAAGCCUAAUGAGGCGCUCCAGUUGUUCCUGCAGAUGCUGAGCUCGAGUGCUGAGCCUGACGAGGUGACCGUUGUGCUGGUGCUGUCUGCGGUUGCGCAGCUUGGUACGGUGGAGUCAGGGAAGUGGCUUCAUUCCUAUGUCAAGAACAGUCGGCGUGUUCAACUCAAUGUCAGAGUGGGCACGGCACUCAUUGACAUGUACUGCAAGUGCGGAAGCUUGGAGGACGCCGUUGCCGUAUUCCACGGCAUUGGUGACAAAGAUAUUGUUGUGUGGAACGCCAUGAUCAAUGGUUAUGCAAUGCACGGAGAUAGCAGAAAGGCACUGGAGAUGUUUGUGCAAUUGCGGGAUCAGGGCCUGUGGCCGACAGAUAUCACCUUCAUUGGUUUGCUCAAUGCGUGCAGUCAUUCUGGGCUGGUUGAGGAGGGCCACAGGUUCUUCCAGUCGAUUGAGCAUGAGUACGGCAUUGAUCCCAAGAUCGAGCACUAUGGUUGCAUGGUGGACCUUCUGGGUCGUGCGGGGCUCAUAGAAGAAGCAUUCCAUCUUGUGCAGAGCAUGACAAUAACACCUGACGCUGUCAUGUGGGUGUCACUACUUGCUGCGUGCCGGCUUCACAAGAACAUGGCGUUAGGCCAGCGGAUUGCGGACUUCCUUGUCACCAAGGGGUUAGCCAACUCAGGGAUGUAUAUCCUCCUAUCCAACAUCUAUGCAGCUGUCGGUAAAUGGGAAGAAGUGGCGCGGGUGCGAUCGAUGAUGAAGGCUAGUGGCAUCCAGAAAGAGCCUGGGUGUAGUGCUAUUGAGAUAGAGCGCAAGGUAUAUGAGUUCGUUGCGGGGGAUAUGAGCCACCCCUGCACCGAUGAAAUAUAUGCUAUGUUGGACAAGAUGAAUGGCCUUGUGAAGGAGCAUGGACAUGUUCCGCAGACAGAGCUGGUUCUGCAUGACCUGGACGAGGCCACAAAGGAGAAGGCACUUGCGGUCCACAGCGAGAAGCUUGCCGUUGCAUUUGGACUGAUAAGCACGCAGCCUGGCGCGACGAUCAAGAUUGUCAAGAACCUACGGGUGUGCUCUGACUGCCAUGCAGUGCUGAAGCUGAUAUCCAAGAUCACUAACAGGAAGAUCGUGUUCAGAGACAGAAACAGAUUCCACCAUUUUGUCGACGGGUCCUGCACUUGUGGAGAUUACUGGUGA